rnacentral:rRNA from 1 species
GAUCGGUAGCCCGGUCUGAGAGGAUGAACGGCCACACUGGGAACUGAGACACGGUCCAGACUCCUACGGGAGGCAGCAGUGGGGAAUCUUCCGCAAUGGACGAAAGUCUGACGGAGCAACGCCGCGUGAGUGAAGACGGCCUUCGGGUUGUAAAGCUCUGUGAUUCGGGACGAAAGGCCAUAUGUGAAUAAUAUAUGGAAAUGACGGUACCGAAAAAGCAAGCCACGGCUAACUACGUGCCAGCAGCCGCGGUAAU